rnacentral:rRNA from 1 species
CCCUUAGAUGUCCUGGGCCGCACGCGCGCUACACUGAUGCAUGCAACGAGUUUAUAACCUUGGCCUGAAAGGUCUGGGUAAUCUUUUGAACGUGCAUCGUGAUAGGGAUAGAUUAUUGCAAUUGUUAAUCUUGAACGAGGAAUUCCUAGUAAACGCGAGUCAUCAGCUCGCAUUGAUUACGUCCCUGCCCUUUGUACACACCGCCCGUCGCACCUACCGAUUGAAUGGUUCGGUGAAGAUCUCGGACUUCGAUAUUUAUUCUUUAUUGAGUUUAUAUUGUGGGAAGUUAUCUAAACCUCAUCGUUUAGAGGAAGGUGAAGUCGUAACA